rnacentral:rRNA from 1 species
AUACGUAGGGUGCAAGCGUUAAUCGGAAUUACUGGGCGUAAAGCGUGCGCAGGCGGUUUUGUAAGACAGAGGGGAAAUCCCCGGGCUCCACCUGGGAACUGCCUUUGUGACUGCAAGGCUAGAGGACGGCAGAGGGGGAUGGAAUUCCGGGGGUAGCAGUGAAAUGCGUAGAUAUGCGGAGGAACACCGAUGGCGAAGGCAAUCCCCUGGGCCUGUACUGACGCUCAUGCACGAAAGCGUGGGGAGCAAACAGGAUUAGAUACCCUGGUAGUCCACGCCCUAAACGAUGUCAACUGGUUGUUGGGUCUUCAUUGACUCAGUAACGAAGCUAACGCGUGAAGUUGACCGCCUGGGGAGUACGGCCGCAAGGUUGAAACUCAAAUGAAUUGACGGGG